GACGAACGCUGGCGGCGUGCUUAACACAUGCAAGUCGAACGGAAGGGCCCGGCGUUUGUGUGGCUCUUGAUUGGCGAACGGGGGAGAGACACGUGAGUAAACUGUCCCUGUCUUUCGGGUAACACCACGGAACAGGGGAUAUUACCGCGGAUGAGCUUCUGCUCCGUAGGGUUGGAUAGUAAGAUUCGGCCGUGUUGGAUCGACUCGCUGCUUAUCAGCUUGAUUGUCGGGUAGUUGCGUACGAAGGCUUUGACGGCUAGCCGGCCUGGGAGGGUGGACGGGCACCAUGGGACUGCGAGAGGGCGCAGUCUCCUACGGGAGGCAGCAGUGGGGAAUCUUGCACAAUGGCCGGAAGCCUGUUGCGGCAACGCCGCGUUCGGGAUGCCGGGCUUUGGGGUGUAAACCGCUUUGGCCUGUGACGAAGCGUGAGUGACGGUAAUGGGUCAAGAAGCAACGGCUAACUACGUG
rnacentral:rRNA from 1 species